rnacentral:lncRNA from 1 species
CUCCAACCCAAAAUUAAAAGGAAUCAUAUCAAAAUAUAAACCAGACAUCUAAUAAAUGGUAAAGAGAAACACAAAUUCGGUUUGAAUCGGUUCUGAAAUGAAAAGAAAAAAAAAAUAGAAAAAGGAGAAAAACAGAACAAGAGAAUUUAGACAAUUCCAAUAGACAAAAAGUAGAGAAAAGGGACCUUUACGAAUCAUGCAGAUAAAAGAACACGUGGCAAAGAAGAGGAAGUGAACUAACCGCUGUCUUAACAAGCUCAUCAGCGUAGGAGGAAGCAGCGCGGACGGUGAGGGAGGUGGCGCGGUUGCGGAGGACGACGGAGGCGGAAGAAGGCUGACGGAAGAGAACGCUUUGGCCCUUGACCCAUUCCGAUUUGUCCAACACCGGAGAUGCCUUGAGGAGUGAGGUUGAUGCCAUUGGUUUAUCUCUUUUCUCUGCCUUUGGUUAUUUUUUUUCUUAUAAUUUGAGAGACUCAGAGUGAAAGCUUAUGACACCACCUUAUCUU